rnacentral:lncRNA from 1 species
CACUCCCUUGAACACUCCAUUUCCAAGGCCCGGGAGGGAUUGGAGUUGAGGGGCACAGAACCACAGUUCAGCACGUUGGACAGCUCCACACACUCAGCCUGCUGGGGGCGGGGCCUGGAUGGGACUGGGCUGUGGGCGUGGGUCAGAGGAGGUGGUCCUGGGCACAUUCUGGACCUCGCUGGAGUUCUGACUGGUUGUUCUCUGAGCAAAUCAGGAGGCCCUGCCAAAGUAAUUCUGAGGUUCACAUGAAAGAAACCCAGGAAAAAUGUUAAAAUAAGCAUACUGAGGGAGACGGGCCAUGUGGGAUCCUAAAAUAUAUUCUAGAACCACAGUAAUUAACACAGCCCAUGGACAGUCAGAUGAUGGGGGGAAAAAAAAACGAAGAAGCUUCCAAUGCAAAUAUGAGGAGGGAGCAGUGUGAAGUCCAGGAGGGGAAAAUGGAUUAUUUAAUAAAUAAUUCAAAACAUAUAAUAAAUACAUCAUCUUAGGACAACUAAACAAACAUUUGGGGGAAAUUUUUGGACUCCCCACCUCAUUCCUUGAUACUAAAAUAAGUUCCAAAUGGGCCAAAGCUUUGAAGUAAAAAAGAAACCAUAAAACUACCAGAAAUAAAAAAAAGAUAACCUCGAAUCAUUCUAAGAAUUAUACAAAAACCAGAAGCCAUAAAAUAUGAGAUGGAUAUAUUCAACCUCAUAAAAAUAAAAGGCAGAUGCAUGGCAGUGGGAGGGGGGCACACAAUAAAAAGAUAAACAACAUACUGUGGGAAUACUGGCGACUCAUCUCACAAAAGGCCACUGUUGGCUAUAUAUGAUGAAUUCUUACAAAUCUAAGAAAAGACCAACAGCCCAAGAGAAGGGUGACCAAGAUAUGAAAUGAACCCAUCAAAAUAGGUUCAACUUGACUCAGUAUAAGAAAGAUGCCAAAUUAAUUGACCGUGAAAUGCAGUCCUCCCACCCCCUGGCAGGGCAGCAGAGUUCAUUAGGGGGAGGAACUGUGCCAGAGAGGGGUCCACAGGUGAGGCCGUGGGGGUGAGGGGGCCCACAGGUACUGCUGUGGGGGUGAGGAGGGCUGCAGGUAGGGCUGGGGGCUUCAGGUAGCUGGAGGUGGGCUGAUUCAUCCCCUCCCGGAUUUCCCCCCCAACACACAGGCAGGGCAGGGGUUCUUGGGGCUACCUGUGUGGAGCUGCCUCCAGAUGCCUCGUCCUCACUGCGCUGUGCUGAAGACCUGCUCAAUCUCUCAUCCUGCUGUCCUGUUUCUCAGCAGAAGUGCCAGAUUAAUCGGGGUGCAUGGAGGCCCUGCUCCACCCCCAGCCCCCAUCACAGCCCCUCAUCACAAGCUCCACUGCCCCCACCUCAGGGUCUAGUCAGCUUUACCCACAUUGCUUUAUCACAUCCCAGCUGUCCCCACUCGUCACAGGUGGCUGUCAAAUCCCUGGCCUCCCACAGACUGCAGUGUCCCCAGGCAGUUCCUUCUCUUCCCAGCCUCAGUUACCCGGUUGGUGAAAGGGGUGAGACGUACCUCUUAGGAGGGAGAAUUAAUAAGAAUGUGGGAGGUAGGAGGGCAGGAUAGGGGGUCCCAGAGUGGGUCGGGGUCCCUGAGUUUGCAGGUCCUGCCUAGGGAUAUCUAUCUGGGAGGUGCAGUGACAACAGUCCUUUGGAGAAGAGGUGGGCAAACCGGGAGGUCUGCCAGGAGGAGCCAGAUAGCUGGCCCCUGAAUGCUGGGCCAGCAUGGCCAAGGCUAGCUGACUGCUCCUCAGGAACCCACUUGCCUGGUUUUGCCUGCACACCCCCCUUGCCCAUGACCAAGGAAGACUACUUGACCAGCUUGCUGGGUGGCCCCUGGGGCUGAGCUUCAGGGACCGGAGUGAGGCCAGAGCUGCUCUCACGAGGCAGAGCGUGUGGGUCCUUCCUGCCCCAUAACUCACCAGCUUGUCUUGUCCUGCCUGGCAGAGCUUCCUAGUGAAAAGGUUACCUUUUUACCUGAGGCUGUCUCGAGGAGGGAGGAUGGCAAUAGGGUGGGGAGCAGGGAAUGAGGCUCGGGUGUGAGACCUGAGGGGAAGCACCCCCAGAAGCCACUCCACCUGGCAGCUCAGGGAGCAGACUCUGCUCCCCGGGCCCUGGGACAGGGAGACCCAGUCUGUGGGGCCCAGGCUCCUGGGAGGGGGGUUGUUCAGCCCCAAGAGCUUCUGGCCACAGCCCAAAAUGGGAAGAAGCUAUGCCACAUGCUUGUUGGUGUUUGUUUGUUGCUCUGGAUGUGGCAGCCACCUGGGUUUUUGUCACAGAUGAGGAGACCAAAGCCCAGGAGUGUCCCCAGGAAGUGUCCAGGAAGUAAGGAGUGGGGAAGGGCCGUGACCAGCCAGGUGGAGGGUCACUGUCCAUCUUCUCCAGGCCUGACUCCCAGGGAGCCCCUGGACGCCUGGUGGGCUACAGAGCCCGGUUGACAAAUACAACUCUGUGCCCCUUUGUUCUUAGGGAGUUUCAAUGACUAAAAGGCAGCUCCUACAAUAGAAAAAGGACAUCAGGUAAAAACUAGAGAAAGAGGAAUAAAGUAUGGGCUUCAGUUGAUAAUAAAGUAUCAGCAUUGGUUCAUCAAUUAGACACACUGAGUAGGAUGUAAACAAUAGGGGAAGCUGUGUGUGCUGCUUCUGGGAACUCUGUGUUAUCCUCUCAAUUUUUCUGUAAAUACAGAACUGUUCUGAAAUCUAAACGUUUAUUUUAAAAAUUAAAAGAACAGAUAGAUUUGUCAGCAAAAGCUUUGACUCUAUAGAAUAGAGCAGGACACCCUCCUCCGUGACAAACCAGGCUCUAUGCACCUGUUUCCACCCAGUUGAGCCCAGUUCUGUGCUGGCCACUUGGGGGCUUUGACCAGAAAAUUCUGCCAUAGAUAUUAAAAAAAAUUUUUUUUUGUCUCUUUGCUAUUUCUUGGGCCGCUCCCACGGCAUGUGGAGGUUCCCAGGCUAGGGGUCCAAUCGGAGCUGUAGCCACCGGCCUACGCCAGAGCCACAGCAACGGGGGAUCCGAGCCGCGUCUGUAGUCUACACCACAGCUCACGGCAACGCCGGAUCGUCAACCCACUGAGCAAGGGCAGGGACCUAGUCGGAUUCGUCAACCACUGCACCACGACGGGAACUCCUAAAAAAAAAUUUUUUUUUAUUAUCAUUGAUUUACAAUGUUCUGUCAAUAGCUGCUGUACAGCAAAGUGACCCAGCUAUAUAUAUAUAUAUAUACACAUACAUUCUAUUUCUCACAUUAUCCUCCAUCAUGUUCCAUCACAAGUGACUAGAUAUAGUUCCCUGUGCAGCAGGAUCUCAUUGCUUAUCCACUCCAAAUGCAAUAGUUUGCAUCUACUAACCUCAACUCCCAGUCCAUCCUACUCCUCCCCCUCCCCCUUGGCAACCACAUUUUGUUCUCCACGUCCAUGAGUUUGUUUCUUUUCUGCAGAUAGGUUCAUUUGUACCGUAUAUCAGAUUCCAGAUAUAAGUGGUAUCAUAUAGUAUUUGUCUUUCUCUUUCUGACUUUCUUAGUAUGAGAGUCUCUGGUUCCAUCCAUGUUGCUGCAAAUGCUGUAGAUUAUUUUAGUUGCUUGAGUCUGAGGAGAUGAUUAAAGGGUGGAUUGUCGGGAAGUAAAGAGUGCGAGUGGUGCCCAGGGCAUAGAGAAAGCGCAAGCACCUCAAAGGCCCCGUGACACCCGAUGGGAUGACUCAAAGACAGAUAGCACACGUGGAGGCAAGAGGGGGCACGGCUGGGUGCUGUGGGCGGGGCACAUGGAGGGAGGGACGGCAUCUCCCCAGGCCUGUGUCCCCCAGCCUCAGGGACCCUGCACUGAGUCCAGCCUUCAGCUGGACGGAGAGAGGAGGUAGCAUGUGCUGCCAGCCCUCCCAGCUACCCCCGCCCAGCCGGCCCGCCAGGAGAGGAGGGAAGCCUUGAAGUGCCAGGCCUUUGAAUUGCCGUCUCCAUGGCAACGCGUGGGCACAAAGGGCUGGGCCUGAGCAGGCGGCUGUGCAAAGCUGGAAGGAGGAAGGAAUCUUUUAUUUAUGGGGAUGAAGCACUGGGGAGCUGGGCUGCACCCAUGCCUGGGGCCAGACCAAGGUCUUGAGGCUGUGCACUCUGCCUGUAGCUGGAGCCCCUGAGCCAGCACCUGCCUGGUGCACAACCCAGUCACCUGGCUAGUUCAGGAGUAUGAAGCAUGGGCAAAUUGAAGGAGCAAGAGUCCAGCCCAUACCCAGCCUGAGGAGCAAUGGCAGAGGCGAGGGGUUGAGGUAGCCCCCCACUUCCAGGGCACCCCAGUCUAUAGGGCAUAUUUGCCAGGACAGGUCCAUGCCAGGUACUAGGACAGGUACAGGUGUGAGGACAUGUGGCCAGACCAGGUGCUACAGAAACAGAACUCAGGUGCUACAAAAGGGCCUCUCAGAAGAGGAGGCUUAAAGGAGCCAGACGUGGGCAGCAGGAACCACCCAUGCAGAGACCAUGGGUCAGAACAAAGCUGCCAAACUCUAAGGGUAGGAAGGAAGCCAGGAGCCAGGGGAGAGGGUGGCAGCCUAGUCCCCUGCAGCCUCUCCUGUACCCCUACCUGGCCACGGGCACCAGGCCUCAGACAUCAGGUGUCUUGGCCACCAGGCGUGGGUCCUGCCUGCUUCCAGCGCAGCCACCGUCCACUCUCGGGUUCCAGCCACCACCCCCAUCUUCCCUCCAGUUCGUCCCCUCAGUUCCUCAGUGUUCAUUUUGUUCUCUGAGGCCCCCCAGUGCAGGAAACUGCACCCAGGGUGCAUGAGGGGGUUCUGACCCCAAAGACCCAGGAGCAAUGCAGAAACUACUAUCAUGAGCAGAGAUUUCAUUUUACUUUUUUAAAAUAUCUGAGCUGGAGUUCCUGUUGUAGCUCAGUGAGUUAAAAACCUGACAUAGUGUCUGUGAGGGUACAGGUUUGAUCCCUGGCCUCAGUAGGUUAAGUAUCCAACUGGCUCUUAUUCAACCCCUAGCUUGGGAACCUCCAUAUGCCACAGGUGCAGCUGUAAAAAAAAUAAAAUAAAAUAUCUGAGCCAGACUGAAGAGAGAAACAGAGAGAUGGAGGUGAAUGUCAUAGCCCUGCAGGUGUCUCCCCAGACCCACCCCACAACAGUUCCUCACUCCUCCUGGAAGCAGCCCUUGUAAAUGUCUAGGUUGAGGCAAUAUUUUGUGAAAUCAGGAGGAUCAAACUGGAAAUUCAAACCCAGCAUGUCCGAUGAGCUACACACAUGUCCUCUGAGGUGAGAGAGGGAUGCUGAGGUACCAGAACCUUGGAUUUCAAUGAGGAACCAAAUCUCGGUGCUACAGAGGGCUUGUGGGGCAACAUACCUCACUCUACCGGAGGCCUAGGCUGACCUGUAUGGGAAGAUGCCACCCUUUGGGGAGCCAGGGAACCUGGAGCCCAAGACCCAAGUGGCCCAUCUGAGCUUUUGUGCUUUCCACAGCCCUAGGUCCUGGACCCCUGCACGCCAGCCCCAGCAAAGCUUAGGGCAGCUGGGGCUGUUUCCUCCCUUCGUGUCUGGGUACCACUCCCUCACACCCCUGCCUGAGCCAGGCUGUCUCCCUCCUGGUGGCCUUUGGGUCAGUUUGGUCUCCUUAAGUUCCACUUUGAGGUCUGAGCCCUGAGUCAGGAGAGUGAGGGCUCCAGGGGAGCAGGCAAGACUGAAGGGACAGGCCCAAGUGAACAGUGAAACAAUAAGGCCAAGCCCUAGGCUGGGACCAGCAGAGGGAGCAGAGCUUGCGGAUGAUGAUAGCAAAUUCAAAACACCACCCAUGGGGUGGAGGGCACUGAAGCGCCAAGCCUGGGCUUGUGGGAAGCACCUGUGCAGGUUCUGGAACCAGCAGCCUUGAAGGGAUGUUCUCCCCAUCACUGAAGGACGUAGGGACUGACCUUCUGCUGGGGUGACAAGAUUCUGCAGCCUUCAAGAUGCUGGGUCCAGGAGUUUCUGCUGUGGUGCGAUGGGAUUGGCGGCAUCUCUGGAGUGCUAGGAAGCAAGUUUGAUCCCAACCUGACACAGCGGGUUAAGGAUACAGCGUUGCUGCAGCUGUAGCAUAGGUGGCAACUGUGGCCCGGAUCUGAUUCCUAGCCUGGGAGUUCCAUAUGCUGUAGGGAACCCAAAAAAGGAAAAAAAAGAAAAGAAAAAAA